AGUGCCCUACGGGGCGUAGCAGUGAGGAAUAUUGGUCAAUGGGCGAGAGCCUGAACCAGCCAAGUCGCGUGAGGGAAGACGGUCCUAUGGAUUGUAAACCUCUUUUGCCGGGGAGCAAAAAGCGGUACGUGUACCGCAUCGAGAGUACCCGGAGAAAAAGCAUCGGCUAACUCCGUGCCAGCAGCCGCGGUAAUACGGAGGAUGCGAGCGUUAUCCGGAUUUAUUGGGUUUAAAGGGUGCGUAGGCUGAAUGUCAAGUCAGCGGUAAAAAUUCCGGGCUCAACCCGGUCGUGCCGUUGAAACUGG
rnacentral:rRNA from 1 species